rnacentral:lncRNA from 1 species
GACCUAGUGAUCAGAGAUGGCACAACCAGCCAGCCGUGUCUGCAUCAUGUGCAUCAUAGCAUAUUUAUUUUUCAAAAGAAACGCAAUGAAAAAAUCAGAAAAAAAAAAGAAAAAAAGAAAAUUUUCAAGGAACUCAAAGGAGUUUAUUUGCAAAAAUUUCAAAACAUGAAAAAACCGGGAAAAUUUUUUCACCUGAUAUAUCUGAUGAGAUAUUCUCGUAUAUGAUCAAAAUGCUAAAUAUUUCAAAGUUUGCAAAUAAAACCCUCGAGUUCCUUUGAAAUAAAGACAAGCAUAUGCAUAAACACUUCAUGCAUCAUUUGCAUCAGCAGGUUCUGUUCCGAUCUCCCGUCCUGUGGUCUGACCCUGCGAUCUUCAUUUAUUUUGAAGACGCACUUUGCCGGUAUUAUACCAGAGCCAUCUCUGCCAGAUUGAUGGAUCAUCCUGAGC